rnacentral:rRNA from 1 species
GAUGUCGACUAGCCGUUGGGCUCCUUGAGAGCUUGGUGGCGCAGCUAACGCAUUAAGUCGACGCCUGGGGAGUACGGCCGCAAGGUUAAAACUCAAAUGAAUUGACGGGGGCCCGCACAAGCGGUGGAGCAUGUGGUUUAAUUCGAAGCAACGCGAAGAACCUUACCUGGCCUUGACAUCCUGCGAACCUUUCAGAGAUGAGAGGGUGCCUUCGGGAACGCAGAGACAGGUGCUGCAUGGCUGUCGUCAG